AGACCUAAAGAGACCAUGAGACAGUCAACAACACAAAAGCAUGAGAUGCUCUGCAGCAACAGUUCUCCAGGGCUGAGAUCAAGUCCUGUCUCCUCUCUAAUCCAACGCCCGUCAUUCGCACUGACAGAAGUGAACCUUCAGAAUCCAAGAGUCAUUCGCCAGAAAUGUUACAAGAGCAAAGUGUGCGUUUUAUUAUCCCCCAGAAGGUAGGAGUCUCUCACUCUGAAAACAAACAAGAACCUUUCCAGAGAGUUUGAUCAUCUUUUAAGAUUCGGUCCACACCAUCAUCCGCCCAUUUUCAGGAGAAGAAAAGUUCCGCCCCACCCACUGAUGAGCUGGGAAGCCUCCUGUCUCAGUUAGGUUCUCCUGGAAGCCAUGAACACGCUGGUGUCUUUGCACGUUCUUUCUCUCCUCCCUGACUCCGUCUAAGCAGAUUGAAAACUUAGUUUCUGAGCCCUGAAGCAAACAGAGAAGAGCAGCCAGCCUCCCGCGGAAGCUCUUCACAGUCUCCCAGGGAUUUCCAGUCAUGGCCAACAUCUUUGUUACAGGACGGAAUCCAGCAACCACUCGCAACCUUAGCAUAAAGCAGUAGCCAAGUCUUACGGGCUAGUUACGAAUAUCAGAUGUGCGGUGACUAUCCACGGGCUUAGAGUGAGUUGGGCAUAUUUAAGUUAUGAAAGAUGUGUUUAUUUCCCCUGGACCCCAAAUAAAUGUCAGCGACAGCUCCAA
rnacentral:lncRNA from 1 species